rnacentral:rRNA from 1 species
CCUACGGGUGGCAGCAGUGAGGAAUAUUGGUCAAUGGGCGCGAGACUGAACCAGCCAAGUCGCGUGAGGGAGGACGGUCCUAUGGAUUGUAAACCUCUUUUGUCGGGGAGCAAAAGCUGCCACGCGUGGCGUUCUGAGAGUACCCGAAGAAAAAGCAUCGGCUAACUCCGUGCCAGCAGCCGCGGUAAUACGGAGGAUGCGAGCGUUAUCCGGAUUUAUUGGGUUUAAAGGGUGCGCAGGCGGGAGUUUAAGUCAGCGGUAAAAUUGAGGGGCUAAACCUCUACCAGCCGUUGAAACUGGCAGUCUUGAGUAGGUGAGAAGUAUGCGGAAUGCGUGGUGUAGCGGUGAAAUGCAUAGAUAUCACGCAGAACUCCGAUUGCGAAGGCAGCAUACCGGCGCUCAACUGACGCUGAGGCACGAAAGUGUGGGUAUCGAACAGGAUUAGAUACCCGGGUAGUC